UUUUUUAGAAUGCCACACUUAUAUUACUGAUAUGCUACUCUCAACCAAUCAAAAAGUUUUCUUGGAAUUCACUCAUUCCAUCAUAAUUUUUAAAAAAUAUAUUUUAAUUUAUUAUUUUUUAAAAAAAAGAAGAUAUGAUUAAUCGGAGAUAGAUAAUAUAUUAUAAGUGUUACGCAGUAGACCUCCUCACUAUUUAGGCCGCGUUAGACUAUGCGUUAGUUAUCAUCCACCAUAAAGGUGGCACUCAGAUCGAUGAAGCUGUAAUGGUUCAACCGUACAUCAAGCUUAAUAAGAAUACUAGUAUAAUUACCCGCACGAUGCGGCGGGCAGACACUAUCGAAACAAUUAUUAUUUCUAUCAAAUAAAGAAUAUUAGUUUAAAUGGUCUGCAAAAAUUAGUGAAAAACUAUUAAAGAUGAUAUUUUUUUACUUAUUAACUCAACAAUCUGUAUAAUUAAACUUAAUAGUUCA
rnacentral:lncRNA from 1 species